rnacentral:rRNA from 1 species
CCCGGCUCAAAAUUCUUCAGAGAGGUUCUGCAUUUUUUCAAGCUUCAUCCGCAAGACUUUGGAACCAAUUCCAUAUCAAACAUAUGUAACUUCCAAGUUCUCUGCGAGGUUUAUCUUCAAGAAGAACCUACUAUUGAACUCUUCAAAGAGUAUUUCUAUUUGAACCGCCAGAAUGAAUACACCAACGGCCCCAACUUGGAACUUGGUGGGAUUUCGAUUCAGCGCAGAUGGGAUGUUGUCUUUCCUCUAGUAGUAUUGCCAAGCCAUCCCAAGUAUUGGAACCAAACUUGGUUCUAUUGCAAAGACACGUCGCCAGUUGAUGAAAAACCAAUGUUGGGUUAUCGUGCUGAGCUUAUUGACGCUAAAUAUUCACUCCCUGAUAAGCUUUCG